CAAAAUGUGCUGAAAGUCCUCAUUUGCCACCAGAGACUGCACAUACAAAAAAUCCAUACUCACAUUCUCAUCUAGCAAAAGUCAAACCGCACACCUAACGCGCAAAUCUAUACAAAAAAUAUAAUAAUAUACACAUCUAAGAGACUGCAAUUGGCAUUCCAGAUCAAGCUAAACAAGCAAGCCAGCAAUGAAAAGCACACACACAGGAUACAUAGAACUAAAGCAUGCUUAUAACACAUGUAUUCCCACGAGAAUCGAAUAGUAUUGAAACCCUUAUCAACAGUUCAGAUCAAACAAACGUAAAUUCACACAUAAACAAGCAAGUAAACGCUUUUUUUUAUAUUUAAUAACGAAAAAGCAUGUAAUCAUGUAAAAGCGAUUGAAACCCUAAUUACCAUUUUGUAUUGCAGUGACUUUGCAAGAGAGAGGGAAAGGGCUCCGGCGUACUGAGACGCAGCUUCAAAUAACUAACAG
rnacentral:misc_RNA from 1 species